rnacentral:rRNA from 1 species
UGGAAUCGCUAGUAAUCGCAGGUCAGCAUACUGCGGUGAAUACGUUCCCGGGUCUUGUACACACCGCCCGUCACACCAUGGGAGCCGGAAAUGCCCGAAGCCAGUGACCCAACCUUAGGGAGGGAGCUGUCGAAGGUGGAGCCGGUAACUGGGGUGAAGUCGUAACAAGGUACC